rnacentral:rRNA from 1 species
GUCACACUGGAWCUGAGACACGGKCCAGAMUCCUACGGGAGGCAGCAGUGGGGAAUAUUGGMCAAUGGGMGAAAGCCUGAUCCAGCCAUGCCGCGUGUGUGAAGAAGGUCUUCGGAUUGUAAAGCACUUUAAGUUGGSAGGAAGGGUACUUACCUAAUACGUGAGUAUUUUGACGUUACCGACAGAAUAAGCRCCGGCUUAACUCUGUGCCAGCAGCCGCGGUAAUACANAGSGUGCAAGCGUUAAUCGGAAUUACUGGGCGUAAAGCGCGCGUAGGUGGUUUGUURAGUUGGAUGUGAAAGCCCCGGGCUCWACCUGGKARCWGCAUCCAAAACUGGCAAGCUAGAGUAUGGUAGAGGGUGGUGGAAUCUCCUGUGUAGCGGUGAAAUGCGUAGAUAU